UGCGCGCGCGUGGUCUGCCAGCUUCUCUGGCCCUGCAAGGCGACCCCUAAGCGCAAUGUCCGGGACCCGCGGUCAGAGGGCCGGAGUGAGGGUGGCAGCGCUCAGGGAAGGAGGCGGAGGCAGAGGCCUCUUUCUUCCCCCGAGGUGGAGAGGGCCCCGGGUCGGAGGAGCGAGGGCCGCACCGCUGGAGCCCACUCCCGCCUCCUUCCCCACGGGCCGGCGCACUUGGGAGCUGGACAGGACGCUCUUCCUGGGCUCGGAGCAGGCGCGGGCCCGGGUUGAGCCGAGCCUGAGCAGGGGCAGGCUCUAGCUGGCGGCUGGCCAGAUGCCCUCCAGGCUAGAGUGCCAUGGGUCUAUCUCCUUGUUGCAGCCUCUGCCUCCAGGAGGAUCAAGCCAUCCUCCCACCUCAGCCUUCUGAGUAGCUGGGACUACAGGCUCGAGCCACCACUCCCGGCUAAUUUUUGUAUUUUUUUCUAGAGAUGGGGUUUCACCAUGUUGUCCAAGCUGCUCUUGGACUCCUGGGUUCAAGCCAUCCGCCAGCCUCAGCCUCCCAAAGUGCUGGGAUUACAGGUGUGAGCCACUACGCCCAGCCCUAGUCCCCUCUCUUUUCUAUGCUUUCUCUUUCUGUAAUUUCUUUAAUUCAAAUGUUGGGUGUCCUGGACCAGGCCCCUAAUUAUCUUUUUCCUUCCCCUUUUUUAUCCCUUUUUCUCUUUGUUCUACUAUCUGGAAGAUUUCUCCAAAUUUAUCUUCCAGCCCUUUCAUUGAAUUUUUAGAUCCCAAGGACUUUUUGUUGGUGGUGGUGGUUGACUGUUUCUUUUGUUUGUUUGUUUGUUUGUUUUUGAGACAGAGUCUUGCUCUGUCACCCAGGCUGGAGUGCAGUGGCGCGAUUUUGGCUCACUGCAACCUUCGCCUCCCCAGUUCAAGUGAUUCUCCUCUCAGUCUCCCGAGUAGCUGGGAUUACAGGUGUGCACCACCAUGCCCGGCUGAUUUUUG
rnacentral:lncRNA from 1 species